CAGCUGGAGCUUUCCUUCUCCCUGUGGUCUUUUCCCAGUACCUCUGGCAGCUCUCCCCAAAGGACCUCUGUGAGACAAGUCUGAAAUAGCUUCCCAGGGGACGCACAGAGCCCACAGAUCUUUUUUCCGCUGCUUCCUCUACCCCUGUAUUUCACUCGACUCUCUAAAUUGACUCAGCUCUAGGUUCUCACUCUGUGCCAUGUGGCUGCUGCUGGAAGAUUGGGGAGAGGUGGCAUUGGCAACUCAAGACUGUCUUUCCUACCCUCUUCAGUGCCUCCUUCAGUGAUAUGAAGUUAAAACGCAGUGCUGUGAUCAGUCACCUGAUUUUUUAUUCUUCUGAAGACCUUCAAGGAAUGUGUUGACCAUUAAGUCCCAAUAUUUUUAUACUCUAUUGUGAUCCUCUGAAAAUGGAUCAUUCUGAGUGAGCACACCAAAUGAAGUUUUUUAAAAGAGGAGGGGAGGUCUUACUCAUAACAGUCAGUUUCCUGCAUGGUAUUUGAACAACUUAGAGAGAAUCGAGUAAUGGUAGCGCCCUUCUUCAGUGAAGGUUUCUUCCUGGAAACAGAACCGGAAGAAGCAAGUGGUCAAAGGUCACAUUGGAUCAGCUACAAUGAUGGACAGCAGGGAAGAGUCUCAAUGGGUUUUGCUGUCAUCAAACUGACCUAAUACUGGGAGGACAAUGAACACUUGGUCUAAAUGGAAGAAGCAGAAAAAUAAACACUAUCGUGUCAAGAACAAUCAAUCAACCUUUUGAACAUCUUCUAGAGUGAUUUGACUGGUGCACCAGCAAGUUAGAUAAACUUUGAGUCACCCAACUAGCAAUGAUCACACUUAUGUUCCUUGUGACAUUAGUGCUAGUGCACAGCCAAGCAUACAGGAAGACAGAGCACUGUCUCACAACCUGUGGAUUUGAUUUCUGAGAGGUCAUGACAAAGAUGCAAAAUCCAAAAGGUUUGUGCCUUCUAUAAAAACUCUUUGGUCUGGUGGGUGUUUUCAACAGUCUUAAUUUUGUUUUUUAACCUCCUGACCCUUCACUCUAUCUUUCAUCACCUCACUCCCUUUAAAUAGCACCCAAAGGAGCAAGCCAGCCCCACGCACAAGUAUGGCCACAGGCAUCACUGGAAGUGUGUACGGUUAAAAAUAAAUUAAUAAAUAAGAGUCCCUGGUGCAACCAAACCCUCAUGCUGAGAAAGAUGCCUUAUGCCUUACACUGCAUCAUAUUCAGGGCAAGAAGUGGAUUUAGAGUUGAAUGAAACAAGAUAAAAGUCCACGCUUUUGUAGUCAGGGAUUUAGGGAAAGCUAUUUACGCCAAUAAAGGGAUUGUAGCAACAUGAAGCCAGCCAUAAAUGUAUGACCUGGCUGGGAAGUUAUACCUUGUUCUCCGAAAAACUGCAAACUGAAAUGCACCACCUGUCAUAAAAUCGAUGCUAAAGGAAGGUGGAGGGGAAGAGACGGGAGCUAUGUAUAUGCAGAAUACAGGACGUUAAGAUUUAAAAGGAGUGAGGGAGAAUGGCCAUCCCCUAAACUGUGACUAUUUCACUAAAAAUAAGCCCACAGCACGAUGGUAUCAGAGGGAUUUCAAUUCAAUAGGCGAGCUGAGGACAGUCUUUCUCACUUGACUGCAGCCACUGAGCAUGUCCAGGGAGGCCCCAGGUGUGACCUCUGCUCCCCUGUGAGCAGUGGCAGGACCAGGCAAUCUAUCAUGGUGUUCAUGCUGUCAGCCCUGUUGCUUUGCCACCGCUGUCUGUCACCCUGGUGGAUGAGACCUGCUUAAG
rnacentral:lncRNA from 10 species